rfam:Oryza punctata chromosome 11, whole genome shotgun sequence.
UGCAACCCGUGAUGUAAAUUAACCCAUUUACUGAACUACAUUGAUUAUUUCAGUAUAAUCACCAUCUUUCGGCUGAGGUUGCA